CCCUCUCUUGUACGGCGCCGCCUAGGGUUGCGACUCACGCCAUCGCCGCCGGCCAUCGCAGGGGCCAUCCCUCCUUCCACCACCAGCCAUCCCAGUCGUGAGCGUCCCAACCCAUGCCCAGCUCCCUCUUCCCACCUUUCCAUGGCAGCAGAUCUGAGGGGAGGGGGGUGGGGGUGGGGCAAGGGCCCUUCGCUCCCGGUGGUCUGAAGCGACGCAGGCGGCCUCUGCUUCCUCCGCGUCCAGCGAAGUAGGAACAGGGCGGCAGGUGGCCCCAUCUCUCCCAUCUACUUUCAGUGACCACGAGUAGCCACCCAUGGCAGCAACGACAUGGAAACAAGGCCGUUCACAAGACUACGACCACUGAUGACAAGAGGCUUCAAAGGACCUUGAAAAGGUGCAAGCAUCCAUCACUUUAAACACAUGGGUUGUCACUUGUCAGUGGAACACCACAGACAAAAAAGCUGCAAGAUCUGCGGGCAACACUUAUCAACCAACUUCUGUAAGGCCUGACUGGUUUUGGAUAGAAAUAUUCGAUAGAGAACUCAGUAAUCAAACCUGCCCACAUGUUAACAUGUGAGGGUGCAACUGAAUUGCUGUACAUGAAUCUGGAACAAGAGAGGAAGAACUGAGGAUUCUUCAAGAAGCUGCUUCUAUUUAUGCACAAAGGCAUUGUAGCCAGGUAAGAUGUACAUAGGCCUUUUCUGGUUGCUUGUCUAUUGAUCAUCCUUAGUCAUUUGUGAUUAGCAUAUGAAAGCACAAGUACGACUGUACUUUUCUUAUAUGAAUAGAAGAACCACACCAUCAGACUGACGUACAUUCAUACUACUAUAUUGUGGUCCAUUUCGGAUAAUAAGAUAGGUUACAAAUUGAAUGCCAAAGAGUUGGCUGGUCAUUUUGCAUCAUUUCAGAUGAUUUUCUGAAGUUUUAAUUGUGUACCAAACCAACUGAAUAUUAUAGAUGCACUUGUUACUUUUACUUCAAACCAUUGACACCCUGAAGUUUGCAGGGUUCAAUAGACACAUGAUGUGUUAGCAUUUGCCUAUCUACCUGAAAGGUUUGCCAGGAGGUUACCAAUAUCAGUGUGUCGUGUGCUGUAGAAAUGGACUUUCCGAUACCAGCAAGUGUGUGGACUUACCAUGUUGUAUUUGCGACACUUGAAUUCACAAUAGCUAGACCAUCCAAUUGGUACAUAAGUUUGUCAUUGUUUUACACUUUUAGUUCUUGGUCAGCAUUGAUUUGUUCUCUCCAUCAAAAGAACUAAUUGCUCAAUUGAAAGAGAAGUGAAACAGAGCCGUUGUCAAUUUUUUAACAAUGUUUAUAUUAUUUAAUUGGUUUCCCUGUGUUCUAUUGAAGACUAAAAUAUGAUUUAUGGUAUACGGUACAGAGCCUACUUUCUGCAAUUAGUACAGAACACUGCUAGUUGCUCUUAAUAAUAGUUAAAUUUGUCAGAACAUUAUAUCUUGUUUACACUGCUAGCUGAUUAUUGCUUAAUAGUAAUAGUUAAUUUGGCAUUACAGAACACUCCAAUUAGCACAUCCAUAGUACAGAACAGAGCUUAAUACAUCGCUAGUUGCUUUUCAAGUUGCUAUUUCUGAAUCCUGUUUCUAGGCCAAUAUAGUACAUGGUAUCUUUAUCAAGAUCUUGACUAACUAUCCAUAAAAAAAGAUCUUGACUAACUAUAUUUCAAUAUGGCAGCACGCGUAAUUUUUCCAUUCUACCCAGCCAUGAAGAAGGCGCCCAUCCAUGAGCUAUUAAUCAGCAAGUAUCAGGAAAAACCUAGUAUUUAUAAUCUGUAUGUACAGAUUAAUAAGCAGUGUAUAUAUAUUUAGUUAUCAUGCAGAUGCUGGUUAUGCCUUUAUAAAUAGCAAAAGAAAUGUGUAAACUGGUUCUACGUUUGAGAUACUAAUUCUAUAUUUCCGAUAUAUUUUUCCUUGUAUGGCCUGAAUAGUAAAGCAAAUGGUGGUCAUUCGCACAACUCAUUUUUGUUACUCUUAUACCUAUGACACUGUAUUCCCUACGGACAUUUUUUUUUGGAAACAAGUGUUGGAAUAUUGGCUGCUGGUACCUAUGCAGUAACUUAAGUAUGUCCCUAGGAACACUAAAUGCUCAGCAAUCGUACAGAGGGAUUCUAUGCCACACCCAUGGCCACUGCUGGGAGUCGAUUGGUGGUCUUCAUGUUCCGCUACUUUUAUAGAUUAGAUAAGUGUAUUCCUCAUUUUGUGCUCAUGUGUGUGCACAGUGCAGAUAUGAAUUCUGACUGUAUUCAAUUUUAUAAAUUAAUUGAACAUUCUAAUAAUUGAGACUUCUUUAUCUUCUGUUGGAAGCAAACAUAAGGAAACCAUGAAGCCGAUGAUCCGCAUCAACAGGAUGUUUUAGCUUUCAUUCUGUACAACUGAUGUCUCAUAAUUGUGUUUUUUUUGUUGUCCUUAUGUAAACCUGAUGUAUGGUAUCUUGUCUUGCUGGUUAGAACAGAUUGAACUGUAUGUAUGUGACAAUUAGUUAAUGGAAUA